AAGUCGUAACAAGGUUUCCGUAGGUGAACCUGCGGAAGGAUCAUUAUCAGGUUAAAGGGGUACCGGUGUGAAAACUGGUCCUACCGAACCCGUGUCAAUAUACUAUUGUUGCUUUGGCAGGCCGUGGGAAACUACUGCGGGCUCCAGCCUGCAAGUGCCUGCCAGAGGACCAAACUCUGAAUGUUAGUGAUGUCUGAGUACUAUAUAAUAGUUAAAA
rnacentral:misc_RNA from 1 species